UGCAACAGUCGCGUAGAGAACUCAAAGUCGCGGCGCGACUAGUCAGUGUUCCCCGAUGAAAUCAAAGUGAAAAAAUAAUUGUUAUUUACAUGUGACAACACUGAAUCGGAAACAGGGUUGCGCUAUUUCAUUCGUUCUUCGGUGGUAAAAAUCAAGUUUUUUGUCGAUGGUUAUGUUUUCCUGUCAAAGUCAAGGAAAUUUCAAAUUUUGUCAACAUUUUAUUACGAGAAUAUAUAUGGAAAAUAUAAUAAGUCCUGCAUUAUCCCAAACAUCCAAUGGAAGCUAUUGUUAACAGGAAGGUGAUAUCGAGAUCUCAAGUGGAUAGUCAGAAAACACUAGGCAAGAAGGUAUCAAAGGCGGGGCUGUCUCCGCGCUAAGCAAGGCUCCUAAGUCUGAGGAGAAAGAGGGUGAUCUGAUUGUACUACGCCGCAUGUCGAAGAAAAAGAAAAAUUGAAAAUAAUUUUAAGUUAAUGUAGAAGAUGCUUAAACUAUUUUUUAGUGUACUUCUAGAAGGUUUUAAUAUAAGUUGCAAUAAUAUAUACUCUGAAUUUAAAUAUUGUUUUUUUCCUAAAUUCCUGUAAUUUUUACCUGCAAUGAAACAAAUAUAAAGUAGGUACCUUGAAGCCGUCAUUAAGGUCUUCCCUAGGCCCACUUCAUAAUGCCCAACGUAUCAUACCAUGACCGUCUCAA